AGAGAGAGAGAGAGAGAGAAUUACAUAGCGCGAGCCAAGAGAGGAGAGAUUGACGAGCUUCUUCCAGAUGAGCGAUCCAGACAGCCAGCCAGAGAGAGGAGAUGGACUAACUUCUUCUUGCUCUUCAGCUCAGGGAGGAGGUCAAUCUAACGACCUCAUCAGUUUGUUUCAGUUGGUUUGACAGUUUAAACCAGUUGCAGGGCGGCGGCUGCCUGCCUCCCACAUCUCCUCCCUAUCCACCGGCGGUCGAGUUCUGGGAUCUUCUUACACCGGGCAGCCAUUUUGACUCGGACGACUCGGUGGAAGAAAGUUCUAGCUUCCUGGAGGAGUCCCAACUCGGCCUUCCUGUCCGGUCUCUUGUGGCAGCUGAUAACCGGCGGCGGCACGGCGUCAACUCGACACAAGGAAGACAUCUCCAGGCCCCCACAGGGCGGCGGGCACCGCCUCCUCCUCCUCCGGUGAGCUUGCUGCCACUUAAACUUGUCAUUCUCCCCUGCUCCGCCCUUCCCAAAGGCGCUUCACACUGUGAGGGAACAACUCCAUCAGCUUCAUGGCUCCGCCAUCUGCAGGGGCAAACCUUGGAAUUGUGUUCAUUGCCGUGAGAAGCAGGUCCGCCAUCGACGGGGAG
rnacentral:lncRNA from 1 species